GCCGUAGAACAUCUCCGGACAAGGUCGCGACACCAUGUGGCCGGCGGCGCUGCGGGGCCAGCAGGUACCGAUGCCGUCGACGGACGCGUCACAGAACAGCCCGGAUCCUGGGCGGGUCAGAGAGACGUUCCGUCCAACGUGGGCGCCAACAUCAGGUGUCCUUACAUCCUGGCAAGCACACGUCUCCAUGACAACGCCAACUUCACUACGACACGUCACGCUUACCAUACCGCCAUGACGUCAUCAUCAGGCUUCAACUUCGUGGUGGACUAAGGUGGACUAUUCUGGACUACGAUGGACUAAGGGUGGAUGGGCGAGGAAGAGGAGGAGGAGGAGAAGAAGGAGGCAAGCUGCAGUGUUGCGUUCACAGACACCCCGCGGUCUCCUCCAAAAGUGUGCCGGCGUCCAUGAGGAACUCAGCGGUCCCGUCCGGUCGGGCUUUGCAAAGCGAGCCUUCGUGCCGGCGGCACCGGUCCAGCCCCGACGCAUCCAGCUUGUGGCUGCGGUGGCGCGCCGGCGAGCAGCUGCGGACACGCGCAUGCACGCGCCGCCCACGUUGAGCCGCGUCGAGACUGGAGACGAGCGCGGGAAAAGCCCAAGUUUUGACGUCUGAGCUUCAAGAAGGAAUGACGCGGGGGGGCACGCGGGCGAUGACGUCGGCGUUUGCCUGCUGAGAGGUCAUUGGUCAGCUCGUGGGAGUUGGCGCCGGGUGGACGCUGGUCUCUUGAUUGGCUCUUCGGGGUCACGUGACGCACACCUGUCACAAGGGCGGUAUGCUAUAUGCUAACAGUGAACAGUUAUUUAUUGGAAGUGAAUAGCAAAGUUAGCUAGCACCUUACCCCAACCCGACCCCCCCCAGGAGGUCACAUGACCUACAAGUGUCUAAACAUACACAAAAUGUGUCAUACAUGUCCUAUUUAUAACGCAGACAUAUUUAGAAUGUUAGCUCGCUAACAGCAUGCUAACCUGGGCUCAGAUAGCGACUGCUCUGUAGUGCCCCCUCUUGGCGCCUCUUCCAUCACGCCCCCCCGUGGCGCCCGCCAUUUUCCCCGCAGAUUUCACUGCAGUCGUUACGUAAAACGGAUUUUAUCUUCAAUUUUCCCACAGCUGGAAGUGUGACGCUGCCCCCCCGCCCUUAAUCCCAAAGACAAUUUGUCUACAAUCCUGUCACUUCCAAAACCUACAUUUGUGUGUGCGUGUGUGCGUAUUAGAAGAGCCGCCAUCUUGGAUUUGUCAUUUCCUGUUUGUGAGUAAGAGAAAGUUCCAGAAAGAAACUUUGAUGAUUGCUACUUUUCCAAAGUACAUCUUCAAAACCCUUCAAACACUUUGUGACCUAGAAAACACGUGUGUGUGUGUGUGUUUGUGUGUGUUUGUGUGUGUGUGUGUGUGUGUGCGCUGCACUUGAAGAGCUCGCCAACAUCAGCAAACACACUCAGUGGGCGGAGUCAGCGUGUUCCUAACAACAACAAGGAGACAAAAACACUUUCAGCAUGUUUUUUUCAACAUGGCCGCCAUGUCAAGCUGUCAGCUGCUAAAUGGUGUCGGGGAGGGGUAGCGUCAGCAGGGGCCUCAAGAAGAUGAACUAUUGAUUUUGUGACACGCUAACGCCGCAGUGACAUCAAGACGCUCUGGUGUUUUAUCACGGCCGCGCAGAGUAAGCGGAUUAUUUAGGGGUGACGUUUGUCAUGUGACGUCACAUACGUGGGUCAUGUGAUGACAUUCCACAAAAACAUUUG